rnacentral:rRNA from 1 species
UACGGGGGGGGCAAGCGUUGUUCGGAAUUACUGGGCGUAAAGGGCUCGUAGGCGGCCUACUAAGUCAUACGUGAAAUCCCUCGGCUUAACCGGGGAACUGCGUCUGAUACUGGAUGGCUUGAGUUCGGGAGAGGGAUGCGGAAUUCCAGGUGUAGCGGUGAAAUGCGUAGAUAUCUGGAGGAACACCGGUGGCGAAGGCGGCAUCCUGGACCGAUACUGACGCUGAGGAGCGAAAGCCAGGGGAGCAAACGGG